rnacentral:antisense_RNA from 1 species
AGAAGCUGGUCUGGCAAUCCUCAUGGCACGUGAAGAGGCGGUCAUCCGUGAGGACCAGGCAGCAGGCGAGAAGAGGGACAUCUGUGAAUCCCUCAUCAGAGUCUGGCCACGCCGGCACCCUGACCUCGGACUAUGGCUCCAGAGCUGUGAGAAAGGAUGUCUGUUGUGGAAGCUCCCCGUCUGCGGUGCUUUGUUCCAGCAGCCAAGCUGACUAGGACAGGCCUCCACUUCCUCUUGCUCAAAGAACCUCCUAGAGGUGGGAAGGGUUUCCAGGCAGGCAUGCAACUGCCCUCAGGGGGUGUCCCGGUCUGCCCUGGAUGAACAGCUGAUGCUGGGAGUGGACAGAUUUCCUGGGAUCCCAGAGCCUGAGUUCUAAGAUACAGAAAACCGUGUCUCUUGGUCCCAAAGCAGGCUCCUGCCAAGCCCAUGUGUUCUUGCUCCGGCCCCUGUGAUUCUCCUCAGCACACGCAGCUGCAGCCAAGAGGAGCCCUGAGAGCAGGGCAAGGAGACGCUGCCCUGGCGGCUGCAGUUGCACAAUCUCCAAAUUGCUGAGGGGACACCUCCAUCCAUGGAUCCGUCCUUGCUCUGGCUCUUCCGGCAAGGCCCACCCCUCCGACUCCUCUAAGGUAGCCCAUGGGCCCAACCUAAGGAGACUGAGCCGCCUUCUUCAGCUUGCACGGUCAGCAAUGCAGGUCUUGCUAACAGCAAGUUUGAGAGGGACCUCCCUUCCUGGGACAUACAACCCGUGGUACAG